GUCUUCUCCGUGGUAAUGGGGCAGCCUCCUGGGCAGCCAGCGCCCUGCGGGGAGGAGGUUCUAGCCUUCAGCCUGGGGCACCUGCUGGGGAAGUCAGGAGGGCAGGGCAGUCCAAGUGCUCCAAGGCCCUGAGGGGGUGCAGCUCUGGGCUGCCCCAGGCACGGGCAGGUCCUGGCACCACCCUGACCUUUGAAUUCCUGGCCCAGUGGAGCUCAGGGGAUCCAGGUGCUGAGUGACAAGAUCUGCAAACUCCAGUCCCUCCUUCCGAAUCCACGCCACCUUUUCCUUCCUCUUCCCUGGCCUCCUCAGCACUCCUGGCUGGAAUUUAAAUGUCAUCAGCUCUGACCAACCUGAGGUCCUCUGCUCAGGUCUUCUGCAGAGGUGGGGGAUGAGUGGGGGUGCUGCUCAGAGCUCAGAUUCACUCACCUUUUCAUCUUUUCAUGCUGGGAGGAAGACCCCCUGAGGUCCCUGGGAUCCGAGAACAGAGGUGCCUGACUCAGCAUCUUAGUGGCAGCGCCAGGAAGUGCCUUGGCUCAGAGCAGACGAACAUUUCUGGACUUGCUGUGGGGAGAGGCAGGCUGAAGCUGUGGUGCCAGGAAACAGGCUCUCCUAGGUGGAUGCAGAUGUAAUGGACAAGGGCCGCAGGUAAGCCUUCUGCUGGGGUGGGUGAGUGGGACCCUCCUGCCUGCCUUUUUCUGCAGGGAGGCUGGCCUGGAGGCCUGGCUGGAGCUGGGCAGACAGGGCCCAAAGCUGAGCUGGUCUGGGGGUGGAGCCUGUCAAGUUGCGGAGCUCCAGCCUGGCUCCGCCCCUCCCUUCCCAGGGCUCAAAGGGAUGACAUCACCAGACUGAGGGCUCUGACCUGGAUGGGCUGGGCUUGUGGAAGCUGGCUCCACAGGGCUCCAGGACUUCCUGGGGUGGCCGGGCCUGCUUCUCCGCUACUCAUCUGAAUCCCCCUUCGGCCCUGGGAUUUCUGCUUUGGGGGUCCUAGAGCUGGCAACUUAUUUUUCAGAUGUCCAAGUCUGGGGCUCGGGUCUUCCACCAGAGACCAUGCCUGGGGCAGGUGGUCAGGCGCUCCUCCCUGACCUGGCCCGCACGGGCUGCUCCAUAGUUCUGAGGGGGAGUCAACCCCUGGUUCGAGCCGGGCAGCAGUCAGCCGCAGCAAACCUACCAUCCCCUUGCCGCAGGUCCAUGCCACUCUCUCCGCCCCCUCCCCCCCCACCAACUGGGUGCUGGUGGUGCCUGUUUGUGGAGCAUAUGCUUGGCUGGCUGCUGCGUGUCUGCUGUUUAUCCGUCUCUUCCCACUUAACUUCUGUUCCCGCCUGGCCCAUCUGGCUCCCUGGUACCUGUCUUUCUCGCGGGCGCCUCCAUGCGACACUGCAUUCCUGCCCCGCAGUCCUCCUCCACCACUUCCCUCCUGGGGCCUGGCUCUCAUCCAGUCUGGGCCACCACCGGAGCCCUUGACCUUGGAUCUAGGGGCAGUGAGCUGCGUCGGAGUCCCUGCAGUGUUCUGGCCGCCCUUGGGGAGGGAGGUUGAAAUAGGUGAUAGAGGGUAGCAUGUGAGGGGCCUGGGACUUGGUGGGGCAGGGUCUGGGGCUGGGGGGAGUCCUGCUUCACUGGGUCCUUCUGAGCUUCCUUCCCAUCAGGGGGCUUUGUUGGGGUAGGGCCAUGGAGACACUGCCCUCUGCCUGCAGCAGCUGUAUGAGAGUGACCUGUGAGUAGCAGUAGAGAGAAUGAGGUCAGGGAGGCCCCAGGAUUCUUCUGACCAAGAACCUGGAGUGCACCCUGCUUCUCCCUGCGGAGGGGGACUGUGGCAAUCUGGUGGUCUGGGCAAGAGGCCAGGGAGAAGCUGCAGGAUGCUUCCAGUGGGCACGAGGCGGGUGGGUUAGGGUUGGCCUCCCCUCAACCACUAGAUCCGUCCCACUCUGGCCUCCCCUCAACCACCAGAUCCGUCCCACUCUAGCCAAUGGCCCAAUCACUGCUCCCUCCCCCAACCUCCCACCUGCUUCCACACCCCAGCACACACAGCAUCUCCCGGGUAAGAUGCAGUGGCUUCCCGCUUCCCCGGGACUCACACAUGAGGGGCUGGUGGAGCCUGGAGGAGGACGGAAAGGAAGAUCAGGGCGGGGACUGGGGCUGCUCCUGCUGGUGGAGGCCGCGCUGGGCCCGAGUCAACAAGGAUCUUCCACAUGCUCCCUGGAAGCGACUGCUUCCCUCGGAAGCCGCAGGGCUUGGCGGCCAGGCCUCGCCGCGUGCCGCUCCAUCUGCCCGCUCCGCCGGCUCCUGGCCCGCUCCCUUGGCCUCUAAUCUUCUUCCUUCCUCCUGAGCCUCCUUUCUCCUGCCUCGCUUCCCAUCUCUGUCCGGCCAGGUCCGUCCGUGCCGCGGUCCCAGGCCUUCCUCCCCUCGGCCUUCAUCCAUCCAGCUUCCUCUUGCGCCUCUGCUGUUUCUCGUGUUCAGAUUCUCUCUCUCAUACAUAUUCAGCAGCUCCUUGAAAAUCCACCUGGAUCAUUCUCAGUGCUAGAAGCUUAGAUCCACUUCAGGAAUAAAGAAUAAAGCUUCUCACCCUGUGAAUCUGCGUCCCUAUCUCUGGACAUGGGCCGGGAUCAGCCACCUGGCCAGUGUUGGUGAAGCCGUAUGCUUUUCCACACAGACGCACUUACUCCCUCAGUGCCUCCUCUUCCGACCUGGGACCAGAAGGACAAUGACGUCCAGAGACACACAGUCCUGUGCCUCGGGGGCAGCCCCCCUGCCCUGGAGGGAUUUGAAGAUUUUAGUCCUGGAAAUGUAUACUCCGAGCGUCUGAACCUUUGUGAUUUACAGCCCGUUCACACUUGCCCUGUUAUCCCCUUCCAACUCCUGUAGGAGGUUCAGAAACGAAGGAAGUUUCUGGCACCAGCAGUGCUGGACAAACAGCUGGCAUCAGAUGGGCUCAGGUUCCAGCCCUUGACCGUGGCAGGUGAACAGAAAGAUCCAGACAGACGUGGGGGAGUGGUGGUUAAGGGAGGAGGGGGUGUGACACUGAGCCACGCCCCACCCUCCUGGGGAGGGUGGGAGGCUGAGCAGGAGGAGGAGGGGGAGGCAGACCCAGCCAGGCCACUGCACAGGAGGUGGGAACGGGUUCGUGGUUCCCCAGCCCCGUUGUUCCCGGCUCCUUUCUCUGCCUUUUUUUUUUUAUCAUCUGGCCUUGUGACUCCUUUUCUGCUUGAUUCUUCUGCCCCUGCCCAUCUUUCCCUGCAUCCUUGGGGUCUGCCACUAUCCUCUGCUCCCUUUCUCUUCCAUCUUCCCUAUUCCUCACCUCUCUUUGCCCCCUGACUGCCUCCACAUCAGCUCCCCAGCAUCUGUCUCUCAGCAACAGUGUCAUCAGUGUAGCCUCAAAGUGGCUGGACAGCCCAGGGGCUGGUAUAUCACAUCCCUUCCCUAGAGUUCCUGACUCCGGUCGGAACUCCCAGGCUGAACCCCGUGUACCCUUCGUUUUUGAACCCCUGGGGGCUGUCCACUCAACCCCCACAUGACAUGCACCCAGUCACGCGGACUCACCUCGAGGCCCGUGGUGGGGCCUUGGGCAGACAUAACUGCUCUUCUCUGGGGACGACUCCCGAAACCUGCCCCCUCCAGAUCCUCCCCCAGUCUCAAUUAGCCAAAGAUGGUGGUUACACCCCAGAAGCCUACCUCUAACUUUUCCUCCACAAGCAUGUGAUUCUUCAGUUUUCAGAGUGACUGCUAGGCUAGUGUCCUAACUUCCCUUAUAGUUUCUUUCACUUCUGUCCUGAAAAGAAGAACAAAUCUAACAAACCCUUCAAAACCCACACUGUAUGCCACCAAAGAGAUUCCAUCAGGUAGGGGGGGUCACCCGUGCCCCUGGCUCCCUUCAUCAGCACCCCUUCCAUGCUGACCCCCCAGCUGCUUUGGGAGGUAGAGUCAGAGCUGAGGCUCGUGAGCUCCAGGCCGCCUGUCCUGGGGCUAAAGGUGAUGUCAGUUUUAGGAGAACCAUGAGCUGGGGCCCCUCCAACUCCCCAGGGCGGUUUCUGAGGCAGCAGCUGGUGCUGUGAGAGCUGAGUCCAGUUGAGUGGUCUGGGGCACUCAUACGCCCCUCUGAGCUCAGGUCCUUGUCUGUGAGGAAGGAGCAGUAAAAUCCUGCCCUAUGGCUUUGUUGAGAAGAUUAAAUGCAGAAGCAGGAGUGCAAGCGCUAGGUACGUGUACGGAGUUUCUAGAGAAGCGGGAAUGGAGCAUCGAGGCAUCAGGUUUGCCGGGGAGACCGGCAGCAGGCAGCCCCCGGCCUCAGAGAGGUCUCAGAGAAGCCCCACAGAUGCCCCGGGGCCUUGGGAGAGGCUGGCAACCUCACUGCCUCCACCACCUCCAUCUGCAUCCUGUUGUCUGCCUGGACAGGCAUGACCAGCAUGUCACAGUCUUCAAACCCUUUGCCCUUGGUGCCAGAGAUGUGGGAACUAGGUCAACCCACUCAAGUUCGGAGGUGAGGCCCCGGCAGGAGAGCAGCCUGAUUUCCUGCCUUGAUGAGACAGCAGGCAGGUAUGGAAAACAUGAUCUGGCUAUAAAAUUAACGUGGGUAAGGGACGCAGCAGAGGCACCGAGAAACCCUUGGUCCUUCCGAGUUCUGUGCCAUGUUCAUGUGGAACCACAAGUCCUCAGGACAGCACGUUGUCUUGGGUUCUAUGGCUUCACCGAGCCUUGCAGACACAUCCACUUAGCAGGGGUUACUUGACUGGGUGGUCUUCCCUGGUAGUUCAGCGGUAAAGAAUCUGCCUGCAACGCAGGAGAUAUGGGUUUGAUCCCUGGGUUGGGAAGAUCCCCUAGGAGGAGGGCACGGCAACCCACUCCAGUACUCUUGCCUGGAGAAUCCCAUGGACAGAGGAGCCCAGUGGGCUACAGUUCAUAGGGUCACAAAGAGUCAGACAUGAUUGAAGUGACUGAGCACUCAUACACACACUUGAUGGGGUGAUUGGGAAAGAGCAGGAACAAUGAGAGGGAAAUAAAGGCGGGAGAGUCAAGCUGUUUUUAUAACCCAUUGUGUGGAAGGGCCCAGCUCCCCGCUUUUGUGCUGAUUGAGGCAUGGUUUAAAUUCGACUUCCCCUCGAAAGAAACCACAGCACCAACAAAAUGACUGUCUCGCAUGUUCUGUAUGUUGGCAGGUCUGGGUAGGACAGAGGCCCCUGGCUGCUGGAGGUGGAGGUAUUGCCAGGUUGGGACGUGUGGAGAAGCUGCAGAGCUCACAGGACAGUGCAGAAGGUUAGGAAGGGCCAGAUGGUCCAGUGGCUACAGGAGGGGAAGCCGAGGCCCAGACGCUCAAGAUCACCCAGCCUGUUGGUGGCAGAAGUGGGCAGAGCACAGAGGUCUUCUGACCCCCAAUCUUGAGCUUCCCAGGACUGCAAACUGCCCCCUAAGAAAUGAUUCCAAAAGGAGUCAUGGCGCCAGAGACGGCUGAGCUUGGUCUGCUUCUGUCAUUUGGAGGGUGUCUAUCACAGAGAGAGGGAAAACUGAGGGCACCCCAUGAGCCUGGCACGGCCUGCAGACAUGACGGCUUCCCCAGGAGGCAGAAAAAUGGGGGAAAUUUGGGGAGGCACGGGCUGCAGCUUUGGGUCACCCUGUCCCCAGGCUUCCCUGAUGACUCUCCUUUGUGCUCAGGCCUGGUAAGGACCCCAGGCUGCCCGCCUGAUGGGGUCAGAGGAGGGGACAGAGCCAACGAGCCUCGCUCUGGCUUCUGCUGGUUGGCUGUGACUCCUGGUCUGCCUGGAUGGAGCCGGAGGAUAAGAAGAACAGGAAGAGAAAGGAAAGCAGCUGGAGGAUGCAGGAUGCCCGUCUGCUGUGUGGUGGAGGGGCCUGAGGAGGAAGGAGGCAUGCGGGCCCCCAGCCAAGAGGCUCAAUUAGGGUUCCCUGGCAUCCACAGGCCGGAGGAACAGCCAGUGCCUGUGGGAGGUCAGAAACCGACAGACUUGGAGCCAGUGAAUCUGGGCUGAAGACCUGCUGCUCUGCGUCAAAUUGCCAACCUCCUUGAGUUCUGAGCAGAGAAGGCAAUGGCACCCCACUCCAGUACUCUUGCCUGGAAAAUCCCAUGGACGGAGGAGCCUGGUAGGCUGCAGUCCAUGGGGUUGCGAAGAGUCAGACAUGACUGAGUGACUUCACUUUCACGCAUUGGAGAAGGAAAUGGAAACCUACUCCAGUGUUCUUGCCUUGAGAAUCCCAGGGAUGGCGGAGCCGGUUGGCUGCCGUCUAUGAGGUCGCACAGAGUUGGACACGACUGAAGCGACUUAGCAGCAGCAGCAGCAUGAGCUCUGAGCGUCACUCCACGGUAUAGGCGACCCUGCUGACCUUAAAGACUUAGAGUGAAGAUUCAACAAUGAAGCUCCAGCCCAGCUCCUAGCACAGAAGCCAGCACGAUGGCCGUGGUCCUGGGUUCCUGGGGUGCCUGCGGGCUGGCUCCCGCCAUCCACCUGCUCCUGGAGUUCACACACUCAGACCAAGAGGAAAACGAGGAAAGGAUGCAGGUUCUCCCACAGUGACAGAAGCCAGCGGCUGAGCCCAAAGUCCACGCUGGGUCUCGACUUCCCCAAUCCACUGUACUUAAUCGAUGGGUUCACAAGCUUGGCCAGAGCAAUGCCAUCCUUCGCAGGGACAUGAGGGGAGACAGAGGGGGAGAAGGUACUGGGCAUGUGUUGGAGAACCAGGUUAUGGACGUCUGUAUGUACGCCGCCGUCAGGAUCUGCUACAGAUCCGACUUUGAGCAACUGGAGCCCGGUUACUCGAAGGAGAUCCCUGAGAAGGUGAGGUUCUUCUCAGACUUUCUGGGGAAGAGGCCUUGGCUUGCAGGGGCCAAGCUCACCUAGCUGGACUCCCUGGAUUAUGACAUCCUUGAUGGGCACCGCCAUGUUUGAGCCCAAGUGCCUGGAUGAAUCCCAAACCUGGAAGACUGCCUUUCCCAUGUUGAGGGCCUGAGGAUCUCUGCCCCUGAAGCCCAGUCGCUUCUGCCCAGGGCCUCUGUUUCUGGAGACUGCCCUGUGGGGCAAUAGGUGGGACCUUCUAACCAGAUGGAGUGAGGAGCCGGUGCCCUCAAGAGCAGCCGGACCUCCCUGCCCCCAGAACCACCUGUCCUUUCCUUUCUCCUUCUGGCCACUCUAGAUGCCUUCACAGCCCCCUUGUCUCCCUCCCAACUCCCUUCCCAUCCUUCCUUUAAAGCUUCAGCUCCCGUUUUUCUUCAACAAAUUUCCUCCCCCACCCCCAUGUUCUUCCUCCUGCACUAAAGCUCAACCAGACCGUCCUUCCUUUCCGUGGUUGCUUCUGCCCUGAGGAGUCCACCAGACCCCCGUCCCAGAGAGCUCUGCCCUGAAGACCUGACUUGGCUAGUGUGGGGGCCAUGCUUCCCUGUGUGGUUCCUGCCUGCCCUAUCUGGUCCCCAGUAAAGACUUAAUCAUACCACCAACAACUACAAGACUCUAGUACGUGUGCUAGAAUCUGAAUGUAGCAGGCGCUUCUCAUGGCUCACUCCCUUCCUCCCACAAACCCAGCCGGCCCCACCACUUCGCUUGGUGCUCCAAGGUUCUGAAAGCAGAGAAGGCAACUCUAGACGCUCAGGCUGUCCUGGCAGCGGAGGGUCCACUGAUCCCAGACCAGGGUCUUCUUCCUAUGGAGCUUCCCAGAGUUACUGCCAGGCACCACCAGGCUCCAGAGCCCUGGACAAAGGUUCUCGGAUGCCUGUCUUUAGACAUAGAUACAAAGCGAUCAGCGUAGUAGAUCCCAGAAUUCAAGAGAGAUGGAACUGCUGGUCUAAAGCCAUACAUCAUCAAUGCACAGUGAGGGGGGACUUUGGCCACGUGGGCUCUGAACCCCAGAGCCGGCUAGGAGGGGCUUGUCCUUGUCUGGAGAGCCCUCGGAUCCUCUGCCACUCUGCAGGCACAUCAGUAAGAGAUGCACUUGCAGGCAGACAGACGCCAGUUCAAAUCUCAGCUGUAUUCCUUUCCAGCUGCAUGACAACGGGUUUGACCUCUCUAAGGUCUGCUCCCUUGUGUGAAAAGGAGGAUGCCAGUUCAUUCGGAAGGCUGCCCGGAAGAACAGCUUGAGAGAGGCACACCAUUUAACCACCACCCAGUGGAGGUGACUUGACGGUGCUUCAGACCAGUGACCGGUGGUCCUGACACUGCACUGUUCUGCUCCUUUCUGUUCUGUCCUGAACCUCUUCUGCUUCUUUGCUUCACUUGAAUCCGAUCCAGUGCCAUCAAGUCCUGAUCUUUGACCCCUCCCAUCAGCCUGACCCUCCAUGGUCCCCACAUCUUCAGAAUAGCCCUGCUGGAAGUGACCCAUCCCAUCUGACCCUGGCUCACCUGGGAUCAGCAGGUAGGUCUCCCUCCCAGGACAACUCCUUGAGCCAGGAGCCAACGUUCCCCAGCAGGAGGGGCCAGGGCCCCAGGAAGAGGAAUGGUUCUGGGUUUGGGCCUCCACUUGGGAGCUGGCUCAGGCCCAUCUCUGGCCACUCAGCCUCCUGAGGAGCCUGCCGUGAGGGACGUGUGACUAGCCCUAGACCCUCAGUGCCCUGGUCCACUCCCGGCGGAUCCGUCCACACCUCAUUUAGCCACUUAGGGAGGAGAAAGAGCAAGGGGAGCUGGAGAAAUCUGUCCAGACCCUGAUGAAUAGUUUCCCAAGCCUGCUGUUGCCAUGGCAGCCAGCUGGGAACACCAUUUCCAGGGCCCGAGGCGCUAAGACCUGCACGGGGGGCUGCCCUGCUGGGCUGCUGCCCACUCGCCUACCCCCACCCGGCCUCCUGGCUCCUUAGCAACUGCUGUCACCAUUGCCAUCGCAACCACGGCUGCAGCUUCUGCACUGGCAGCUGGAGUGGGGGAGGGGGCAGUGUCCAGGGAUGUUCUAGGAGGAGGCGGGGAGUAUGUGCCUGGCAGAGUUGAGGUACUUAUGAGGUAGGAAGGGAAAACCUGGGCCACUUUGCCUCAGUGGCUCCUUCCUGACUAUAGACUCCUAAGGAUGUGUUUGUGUAUCUUGGUGUAUGUGGGUUUUUCUGGAGAAAGAGUUUAGAGUUUUUAUCCAACUCUCAAAGAAGACCAAGAUCCCCAGUGAGUAAGAGCCACAGUCAUGGACACUUCUGCUUUCAGAGUCAGAAUCAUCUCAGGGACUGGUUGAUCCCCAGGCUUCAGAGAUAAGCACAGGGGAAAGGUGGAGGCAGGAGGCGUACUACUCAGGGACCCCUCAGGGGUGCCCCCUGGGGUCCUUUGGGAACCGGGGCUGGCGUCUCCCUCCUGACCACCUUAGAUGGUCCAUCCUUCUCAUCUGCCCCGGCUUGCAGCUCUGCCCCGAAGUCAGCCGUGCAAACCAUCUGUGUUUCCUGUGCCCAGCCCCUGAGUCCCGUGUCCUACACACCCUCUACAGUGUCCCAGCAACCUGCACACUGACCAGCGGGGAUGUUCACUCACCACUGCCAUUUAGAGAUGAGAACUUUGAAACAACAGAUAAAGUGAGCCAUCUGCCAAGUCGAUGCAGUGGGUUUCCCUGUCCCCGAGGAGCAGGAGUCACAGGGCACCAUAUUUUCUCGGGGGACACUGUGCAAUCGCCACUGUUGGCUACAUGCAGAUCAAAGGAAGUGACCUCGGGACAUCCCUGUAGACUGACCUCUGCUACAGAGAAUUGCCCAUGCCCGCAGGUCAGGUACCCCUGGGUAUCCUGGUUGGUACCCUUGGGCGGGCAGAUGGCACAGUGUCUCUGGCUACCAGGUGCCUGGUUCAACAGUCUAGGUGAGGGAUUUUGAAGGUUCCACAGAGGGAGCAGAAAAGACCAGAUGCCCCACACUUCACUGGCAUGUGGGGGGCGGGCAGGUGUUCAUGAGGGGCCUGAGAGGGAGGUGAGAGGCUUGGAACACCCCCAGGCCACGUGGGCUGUUGGCAUCCUAGCAGAGGAUGACAGGGACGCUGUGUUCGUCACUGCUGUGCAGAAACACAAGGUACCAUCCGAUCCGCAAGUGGGAGUGGGGGGCUCCGUCAUCUGCAGGCUUCUGUGGGAGCAAUCUCUCGGCCCCUCAUCUUGCCCCAGAGGCGCAGCGCCGAGAGCAGAUGGUGAGGGGGAGGAGGGUGGGUCCCGAUUCCUGAGUCACUUGUCUGCCGGGCUUCCUUUUGGGGGUGCUGGCAAGUACAGCACGCUCCAUCAUCGCGGACAAAUUGGUGGCCGGAUGGCAGGGAGGCGAGGGUCAGACAAAGGAGGUGAUGCUGGGAGUGCCUCACACCCAGUCAGGAGGUGAUUAAGCUGUGGAGGAGAAAGCCGGGGAGUCAUCGCUGACUCAGGGAUGAGGCUGCUGCUCUGUUCUCGCCUCACCUGCCCGCUCACUCGCAGGCUGGAGCGGGGAGGCUGGUUGAAAAGGUGAGUGAUUCAGAGGCACUUUAAAAAGCAGCGCUUCUUAAGCUGACGAGCUUCUGAGACUGAAUCAGACUUUUUUUUUCCUUUAAUUUUCCAAUGUGAGGAGGUUGGAGUCUUUUCUGAGAACUAGGGACAGAGCCCAGGGUGGACACAGCUGGGGGCCUGGACAGGCGAAGCAGCCAUGUGCCCCCUAGCUCUGAGUGGGGUGUGUUUGAGAGAGGCUGCCGGCUGGCUAGUUAAGGGCCUGGGAUGUGAGCCCAGUCUGGACUCACUAGCUCUGGGCAGUGACCACUCCCUCCAACUCCACGGCAACCCCAGGUCUAUUUUCUCAUCCAUAGGAAGAGACUAGAAUUCCUGGGUACCAGACUGGGAGGGGAGAGGGCAGGGCAGCACCGGUGCAGCCCUAAAUGAAGAAGAAGUAACUUCUCUUCAGUUUCUCUCUCCUAUUCCGAAGAGAAGUAAGACAUCCUGAUUUAUAUCACACGCUGUGGUCACAACAGAACAGUAAGAUGGGUAAUUCAGUGAUGCAAAUUACCCUCAAAUACAAUAAACAUUUAUUGAAAGACGCUGCUUUAUUGUUGGCGACCCCCUCUGGGAAGGUGCUAAAGGUGCGCGGAUCUGGUUGGUGGGUGUCCAAGGAGACUGAGAUGGUGCUCCUUGUGUUUUGGGUUCAGAGUCUCAAAGACAAAAAGUCAGAAAACUAAGCUUUUGGAAGGGCUGAAUAUAGAAUAAUCAAGACCCUAAACCUUGGAGGGUUCGUCAAAUGCCCCAUGUCGGGCUGGGUAACACCAAACAUGUGCCUUGAGAGUGAGUCUAAUUCUCUUUCAAUUUUUCUUUAUCCCAAAGGAGAAGGAAGAAUCUUUGACCAGCAAGAGCAGCCAGCUUGCAAAGACAGGAUGGCUGACAUGAGGUGCAAACAAGCAAGUCAGGGAGGUCACUUGUUUGACCUCCAGGAUGCAUUGCCCAGAGCCCGCAGGGUGAUUCCAGCUGUGCAGGGCACCCGUGCCCAGAGCCCCUGUGAGCCUGGCAGCUGACAACAUGCACCCAAGGGGCCAGGUCUCGGCUGGGGCUCACCUGGAGACACACCCUCCAUCCUGCUGUCCACGGGCUCCCUCCUGCCUGGUACCACUCCCACCACCUGACCGUUCUGGGCUCUGCCAAGAGCCGCCUGUUCAGCCGGUGUGAGCUGCUCACACAUAGCUUUCCUGCUGUUUCCUGGGGUUUAUUAUGACCUUGGGAAGAGUCAAAGCCAUUUUCUCCUUGGCAGGAAUGGGCUUUGGGCUUGUCUGAAUUCUAGCCACAGAUGCAUCCAGAAUGUUCCCACAGCCACAAGAGCUCCACAGUCAGGGUCACUUAACCAUCAAAUUGGGAGCCAGGUAACCAAGAUCUUGGUUGGUUCCUGCACCCACUGGUGGGAGGGGCCUGACAACCCAUGAAGCGUCCUUUUCUGCUCCCAAAGCCCGCUUCUUAUACAUGCCUGGCCUCCACCAGCCACACAGACAACUCUCCUAGGAACUUCCCUCCUCACUUGCCAUGCAUGGGCUGCAGCCUCUUGCCAUUGAAAGCACAGACCACAGCCAUCAGCAUAUAGAUUGAGCUGUUAACACAGGAAGAACAGAGUGAAAAGGGAGGGGGCUUACAGACCUGAGGUGGGCUUUUCUGGGGGAAGGUGGUUUCUGAGAUGAGGGGUCAACCAGCUGCUUCUGCCACCUCACCAAGGAGAAGGGGAGAGUCCGAAUAAGGGGGUCAUCACUAUGCCUGGCCCCUCCCCCAUAGGGGCAGAGGAAGGGGCAGGAAGCAGGGCUGGCGUGUCUCUGCACCCCCACUGCCAGUCCCAGGCCAUCACCCCGACACGUCCUGCUUGCUGAAGGAUCUCCCUGUCCAGUCUCUACUUUCCAUAGUGGGUCUUGAUUCUCCUUUGAAUCUUGGCCACAAGCAGACCUUUGCUGAGUCUGUGACCACAAGGCAUUUAAGAUGCAAUGUUAGUUUCCCCCACCCCGGGGGAAGGGCGGGAGGCAGGUGGCAGGGCUGGAUUGGAGCCCAGGAUGAUGCUUGGUGGGAAGCUGGAGGGGCAGGUAGACUCAGAUUACACACUUGGGAGUCCAGACGAGGGAGCUGAUGCCUCGUGAGAUGAAACGGUUUGUUUACCGAGAGCUUGUGCUCAUUGAUGGGAGAGCAAGACUACGCUCAGGUCAUUGGACACCCGAGCCUUCCUGCAGCUGUGGAGCCUAUCCCAUCCAGCAGUGGCUCAGGUGAUGACGGGUGGCACAGCUCUGGGAGCAGAGGGGCACCCCUGUGUAACCUCGACCCCUUCCAGAUGUCCCUGCCUUGCACCAGGGGUUACAUGCAUCCUGGGGGCACACUUGGGAGGAAUGACCUUUUAGAGGUGUUAUGCCUGGAUAAACCUCCAGACCCUGUGGGAAUCAAAGCUCUGAGUGGAGUCCUGCAGUGUCUGCUGUGGCCUCCACGCCUCCCCUGUCUCCUGAAUGUCUCCUGCUUCCAGGGGGCUCAUGGCUUUCCUAGUGACACUGGGAUUCGUGGUUGUCACCACUCCUGCAGCUGACCCUGUGUACUCCCUCCUCCUACUUCUCUCCAUGUGCUGCUCUGUGAACAGCUGUUCCUGCCUGGGGAGGAGCACCCAGAUCUGCAGACCAGGCUCCUGCUGGUGAUGUGAGUGCCACUGCACACACGGCCACACACACUCGACAUCAUCUCUUGCACACUUGCCACGUGCUGGAUGGCGGAGUGCACAUCACAUGUGACGGGAUCUCUGCCCCAAGCAGUGGUCAGGAGGGCUUCCUUGGUGGUCCAGUGGUUAAGAAUCCAUGUUGCAAUGCAGGGGACACAAUUUCGGUCCCUGGUUCUGGGAAUAUCCCACAUGCCCUGGGCGGCUAAGAUCGUGUGCUGUGAAUACCGAAGCCCACAUGCAGUGGCUACUGAAGACUGUGUGCCUACAGCCUGUGCUCCACGACAAGAGAAGCCACCAAAACAUAACUAGAGAGAAGGCUGCACUAGAGAAGAGCCCAUGCAGCAACGAAGAUCCAGUCCAGCCAAAAAUAAAUAAAUAAUAUAAAUUGUAUAUAAAAAUAUCACCGGGGGAAGAGGAAGCAGGUGCCAGGCUGUGAAGGUGGCAAGAAGAAGCCCCUGAAGCAGCCCAAGAAGCAAGACAAGGAGAUGGAUGAGGGAGAUAAGGCAUUCAAGCAGAAACAGAAGGAGGAGCUGAAGAAACUUGAGGAGCUAAAAGUGAAGGCCAGGGGAAAGGCCCCCUGGCCACAGGUGGAAUUAAGAAAUCUGGCAAAAAAAUAAGCUGUUCCGUGGACCUAAGACAGUGAUGAUCCUUAGUUCCAUUCCUCUGCAAACACCGGCAUUCCCUGCCAUAACAGCCUUUGCAUCCUCUAGCUAAGAUGAAGUCUUGUCUUGGAACUUAUUGUACAUUUAAGAAUAAACUUUUGUAAAAAAACAAAACAAAAAUCAUACACUGGCUCAUUUGUCUUCAUUUCUUCUCAGCCGU
ensembl:lncRNA